GCUGGAAAGAAGAAAAAGACUUGAGUUACUGAUUAUUAUUAGAAAGAGGAAGUGAUCGAUGGAGCCACCAUCUCCGCUGCCUAAUCCAGCUCCUCGGAAAAAGAUGACCAAACAAUUGACAGGAAAAAAAGAUGAUACACCACUGCAUUCCGCAGCUAGAGCAGGAAAUUUAGCAGUUGUAAUGGAAAUCUUUUCUGAUACUGGGGAGGAAGCAUUGAAGGAAUUGUUAGAGAAGCAAAACCAAUCAGGAGAGACUGCCCUUUAUGUAGCUGCGGAAUAUGGUUAUGUCGAUUUAGUUAGGGAGAUGAUUAAACACUACGAUCUUGCUGAUGCUAGUAUUAAAGCAAGAAAUGGGUUUGAUGCAUUCCACAUUGCUGCCAAGCAAGGGGAUUUAGAUAUAUUGGCAAUUCUAAUGGAGGCCCAUCCAGAAUUGGCUAUGACUGUUGAUUUAUCAAACACUACAGCUUUGCACACGGCUGCAACGCAGGGACAUAUAGAGGUAGUGAAAUUUUUGUUGAGUGCAGAGACUAGCCUGGCAACCAUUGCUAGAAGCAAUGGGAAAACUGCCUUGCAUUCUGCAGCAAGAAAUGGGCAUUUGGAGGUUGUUAGGGCACUUGUGGCAACGGAGCCUGGGAUGUUGACAAGGAUAGAUAAAAAGGGGCAGACAGCACUUCACAUGGCAGUAAAGGGGCAAAAUGUUGAGGUUGUGGAAGAGUUGAUUAAUGCAGAACCUUCAUCAGUGAACAUGGUUGAUACCAAGGGCAACACAGCAUUACAUAUAGCAACUCGGAAAGGAAGAGUUCAGAUUGUGCAGUUGCUACUCAGGCACAAUGAUACGGAUAUAAAAGCUGUCAAUAAGACUGGCGAAACUGCCUUUGAUACUGCUGAGAAAACUGGACACCCAGAUAUUGCAGCCAUUUUGCAGGAGCAUGGGGUUCAGAGUGCCAAAUCUAUCAAGCCACAAGCAACAAAUCCAGCACGAGAAUUGAAACAAACUGUGAGUGACAUAAAACACGAAGUUCACUACCAGUUGGAACACACCCGUCAAACUCGCAAGCGAGUGCAAGGCAUUGCUAAACGUGUUAACAAAAUGCAUGCUGAAGGUCUUAACAAUGCCAUCAACUCCACAACUGUUGUAGCUGUCCUCAUUGCCACAGUUGCCUUUGCAGCCAUCUUUACUGUCCCUGGCCAAUAUGUCGACAAUGUGAAUGACAUUCCCCCUGGACAAUCUCUUGGGGAAGCAAACAUUGCGCCACAAGCUCCAUUUAUAAUAUUCUUCAUCUUCGAUUCUAUUGCCCUCUUCAUUUCUCUAGCUGUUGUGGUGGUUCAAACAUCAGUUGUUGUCAUAGAGAGCAAGGCAAAGAAGCAGAUGAUGGCAAUUAUUAACAAGUUGAUGUGGAUCGCUUGUGCACUUAUUUCAGUAGCAUUCUUGGCUCUUUCAUUUAUUGUGGUGGGCAAGCAUCAGAAGUGGCUAGCAAUUGGUGUUACAAUCAUAGGAGCAAGCAUAAUGGUUACAACUCUGGGUACUAUGUGUUACUGGGUCAU
rnacentral:misc_RNA from 1 species